AGCCCAUGAUGUGGGCACUACUGAAGUAAGCUCUUGAAUCGAUCCCAAGAUUCAAACAAAGACUCUCCAUCCUUUUGCAUAAAAUUGGUAAUCAGAUGUCUCAUGUGGGU